rnacentral:rRNA from 1 species
GAUGAACGCUAGCUACAGGCUUAACACAUGCAAGUCGAGGGGAAACGAUAGAGAAAGCUUGCUUUUUCUAGGCGUCGACCGGCGCACGGGUGAGUAACGCGUAUCCAACCUGCCCACCACUUGGGGAUAACCUUGCGAAAGUAAGACUAAUACCCAAUGACGUCUCUAGAAGACAUCUGAAAGGGAUUAAAGAUUUAUCGGUGAUGGAUGGGGAUGCGUCUGAUUAGCUUGUUGGCGGGGUAACGGCCCACCAAGGCAACGAUCAGUAGGGAUUCUGAGAGGAAGGUCCCCCACAUUGGAACUGAGACACGGUCCAAACUCCUACGGGAGGCAGCAGUGAGGAAUAUUGGUCAAUGGGCGAGAGCCUGAACCAGCCAAGUAGCGUGCAGGACGACGGCCCUAUGGGUUGUAAACUGCUUUUAUAGGGGGAUAAAGUGAGCCACGUGUGGUUUAUUGCAGGUACCGUACGAAUAAGGACCGGCUAAUUCCGUGCCAGCAGCCGCGGUAAUACGGAAGGUCCGGGCGUUAUCCGGAUUCAUUGGGUUUAAAGGGAGCGUAGGCCGCCCCUUAAGCGUGUUGUGAAAUGCCGCGGCUCAACCGUGGCACUGCAGCGCGAACUGGGGGGCUUGAGUGCGCGCAGCGAAGGCGGAAUUCGUGGUGUAGCGGUGAAAUGCUUAGAUAUCACGAAGAACUCCGAUCGCGAAGGCAGCCUACGGGAGCGCAACUGACGCUGAAGCUCGAAAGUGCGGGUAUCGAACAGG